CCGAGCUUCUCCAACAGCAGGACUUCUAUAGUAACCAGACUCCAUCCAAGUUUCUACGAUGAUCGACCACCUUUCGAAUUUCAUCCGAGCUCCUACAAGAGCCAGAUCCCAGCCGAACUUCUACAGUGGAUGGAUCCCAGACGAACUUCUACAACGGACGGGCUCCACCAGCAGGAUCUCUACUCCGAGCUUCUUUUGGACUUCGUCAAUGACCAAGCUUCUCCAGUAGCGGGACUUCUACAAUAAGAAGUCUCCUUCCGAGCUUCCAUGACAGUCGGUCUUCGUCCGAGCUUCUACAGUAAGAAGUCUCCAUCCGAGCUUCCACGACGACUGGCCUUCGUUCGAGCUUCUACAAUAAGCGAACUUUAUCC
rnacentral:lncRNA from 1 species